AACCUUAUGGACCUGCGGGCGUAUACCUGCGGAGGGAUCAUUAUUGAAUAAACUUGGUUGGGCUGUUGCUGGCUCCUUGGAGCAUGUGCACGCCUAGCACCAAUUUUUACCACCUGUGCACCUUUGUGGACCUGGAUACCUCUCGAGGAAACUCGGUUGGAGGACUGCUGUGCGAAAGCCAGCUUUCCUUACAUUUCCGGUUCAUGUUUUCACAUACCCCAUACGAAUGUAACAGAAUGU
rnacentral:misc_RNA from 1 species